rnacentral:rRNA from 1 species
UUUAUGGAGAGUUUGAUCCUGGCUCAGGAUGAACGCUGGCGGCGUGCCUAAUACAUGCAAGUCGAGCGAACAGACGAGGAGCUUGCUCCUUUGACGUUAGCGGCGGACGGGUGAGUAACACGUAGGUAACCUACCUAUAAGACUGGGAUAACUUCGGGAAACCGGAGCUAAUACCGGAUAAUAUUUCGAACCGCAUGGUUCGAUAGUGAAAGA